rnacentral:piRNA from 1 species
UCCAGGUUCUAGCCCUGGUUGAGUUGCUGUC